AAUGAACGCUGGCGGCAUGCCUAACACAUGCAAGUCGAACGAGACCUUCGGGUCUAUUGGCGCACGGGUGCGUAACGGGUCGGAACCUGCCCACAGGUUUGGAAUAACUCCACGACAGGGGUGCCAACACCGGAUAAUGUCUUCGGACCAAAGAUUUAUCGCACCUGGUUGGGCCCGCGUUGGAUUAGCUAGUGGGUACGGUAAAAGACUACUACGGAAACGAUUCGUAGCUGGCUUGAGAGGGUGCUCAGCCACACUGGGACUGAGACACGGUCCAGACCCCUAGGGGAGGGAGCGGGAGCGAAUCCUCAGCAAUGGGAGAAGGGGGGAAGGUGAAACGCCGAGUGAAUGAUGAAGGCAUUCGGGCCGGAAAAGUAUGUAAUUCGUGAAGGUGAAAAGCGUAAGUAACCCGGGACGUAUUGAAGGUACCGGAUGAGAAAGCCACGGCUAACUCCGUG
rnacentral:rRNA from 1 species